CCUUUCUUUUGUCAAUUUCUUUCCUUCUUUUCUCUUCUCAAUCUCUCGUCACUUCCUCCUUCUCUUCUUUGAAUAGUUGCCGUGCCACAAUCACCGUCGUCCCUCGUGCCAAGCUCAUGCCCAUUCGUCGUCGAAUUGUCCUUCGGGCUAGUUUUUUUUCUUCGAUCGCCGUUGUGCUCGCCACCACUGUUGGGUAAGUUUUUUUUUUUCUUUGGGCCGCUCUUCUUUCUUCAAUUUGCCUCAACCUCUCUGAUUUGCGUCAACCUCUCUUAGUGCCUUAACCUUUGUUUGAUUAGUUUCUUAAGACAAACACUCCCACGCUCGCAAUCACUACUAAAUCCUACGCUUCUUUUUAACUCUUGAAUUUAUUAAACCCACCAACUACAAGUGGAGUUUGCAUUUGCUACAAUUUUCGUCAGUUACUUUACUAAUUGCCUUUCAACGGAUGCUGGGAGCACAUGGACAAUUCCCUUACAGAAACUUCUUUUUUCUCCUUGGAUAUUACACUUCAAAAAUUAUUGUAGCUGAUAUAGUGAAUGCUGGCGUAAUUGUGAGUAAUCAAAUGGCCAUUUGAGCUCGAAGGUAAUAGCCUUUUCGUGUGAAUGCACUUAAAUGGGUUUUGCAGGAUGAAUUUCGCAAGCUUGCUGUAAAAUUCAACCUACCAAAGAAAGACAUAAAGGAAUCACAAGGAAUAUGUUUCCUAAAAAAGGUACUUUGGGAUGUGGUGAUUCAUACAUAUUUUUUGUUUGUUUGUCUUUUUCUUUUCAGGAGGAUAACGGCUCUCUCAAAAUUCAAUGUUCAAUGCUUAUCUAUUUCUAAUAUGUUGGCGUUGCUGUUUGUAUUUUAGAAUAUUCUUUACUACUUUUUAGAACUAUUUAUAGUAAUACAGGAUUUAGUACAAGACUUGCUAAUUAGUGUUGAAAUUUUCUGAUGGCUAUACGUUCCCUAAGCAAGUGUUUUAUUUCCUUAUUCUUCCUGACAGCCAACGCCAAGGUCUAAGACUUCCUGGAGGACCUUGGUAUGUCGUGGAAAAAGAUAUAAAGAAAAAUGUAGUAUUUGUGUCGAGAAACUAUUUCUCAUUUGACAAAAAGAGGCGGGUGUUUCGUAUUGGAUCUCUAAAAUGGCUUGUGGUUUGCUCCAGACCAAUUUCCUAGGCUUUAAUCUAAGUAAAAGAGAAGCACCUCAAAUGCGGAAGUUAGAAGCACCUCCGAUGCUAUCUUACACGUUCUUUCUUCUUCAUCUGGCUACCCAACGGUUCGGAACUUGGUUUUGGAAAAUGCAGAUUAUGUGAUUGAUUCAAUUUGUAGGCAGUUGCGUCAUUUGGAUCUCAAUCCGCACGUGCCAAAUUUUCUUGCCGCUAUCCUUUCCUAUAUUGGAAUAGCUCAUGAGAUUUUACCUCUACUGGAG